UGAGUACGAGACGCUAAGGCGUCGAAGUAGUGUAUGUCAUACUUCCAAGAAAAGCUUGCACUGUCAUAGAUAAAAAACGCCUGUACCAUAACCGACACAGGUGGGUAGGUAGAGUAUACUAAGGGGCGCGAGAUAACUCUCUCUAAGGAACUCGGCAAAAUAACUCCGUAACUUCGGGAGAAGGAGUGCCUUAUUCGUAAGGUUGCAAUAACAAGAUCCAAGCAACUGUUUAUCAAAAACACAGGUCUCCGCUAAGUCGUAAGACGAUGUAUGGGGGCUGACGCCUGCCCAGUGCCAGAAGGUUAAAGAAGUUGGUUAGCAAUUGCGAAGCUGAUAACUGAAGCCCUGGUGAACGGCGGCCGUAACAAUAACGGUCCUAAGGUAGCGAAAUUCCUUGUCGGGUAAGUUCCGACCCGCACGAAAGGCGUAAUGAUUUGGAUACUGUCUCGGAGAGGGGCUCGGUGAAAUAGACUUGUCUGUGAAGAUGCGGACUACCUGCACCAGGACAGAAAGACCCUAUGAAGCUUUACUGUAACUUGAAAUUGAAAUUGGACUUUAUUCGCGCAGUAUAGGUGGGAGGCGUUGAUUAUAAUCUUGUGGGAUUAUUGGAGCCAUCAGUGAGAUACCACUCUUGUAAUGUUAGAUUUCUAACUUUGAAUCAUUAUCUGGUCAAAGAACAGUUUCAGGCGGGCAGUUUGACUGGGGCGGUCGCCUCCUAAACGGUAACGGAGGCGUACAAAGGUUUCCUCUGAACGGUUAGAAAUCGUAUCUAGAGUGUAAAGGCAUAAGGAAGCUUGACUGUGAGACCUACAAGUCGAGCAGGGACGAAAGUCGGUCUUAGUGAUCUGACGGUACUGAGUGGAAAGGCCGUCACUCAACGGAUAAAAGUUACUCUAGGAUAACAGGCUGAUCUCCCCCAAGAGUUCACAUCGACGGGGAGGUUUGGCACCUCGAUGUCGGCUCAUCGCAUCCUGGGGCGGUAGUACGUCCCAAGGGUUGGGCUGUUCGCCCAUGAAAGCGGUACGCGAGCUGGGUUCAGAACGUCGUGAGACAGUUCGGUCCAUAUCCGGUGUAGGCGUUAGAAUAUUGAGAGGAGCCUUCUUUAGUACGAGAGGACCGAGAAGGACAUACCUCUGGUGUACCAGUUAUCGUGCCAACGGUAAACGCUGGGUAGCUAUGUAUGGAGUGGAUAACCGCUGAAAGCAUCUAAGUGGGAAGCCCACCUCAAGAUAAGUAUUCUCAUC
rnacentral:rRNA from 1 species